GUUCGUUGCACUCAGAUGCUUUGUUGGUUAUGGGCUUGAGCUCUCUCGUUUGGUCCCUCUCAUCAUUUUCCACCUGAAAAGGAAGUACAUAUGCAAGACAGAGGACGAGGUGAGAGCGGCAUGGGUUCCAGGAAACCUGAGGUAUAACACCAGGGUUCCCAACGACAUGCUCAUCGUGACAAUUGUGCUGUGCUACUCCGUCAUCACGCCUUUGAUUUUGCCAUUCGGUGUUGCUUACUUUGCUCUGGGUUGGCUUAUAGCAAAAAACCAGGUUUUGAGAGUUUAUGUUCCGAGUUAUGAGAGCAACGGGCGAAUGUGGCCACACAUGCACACAAGGAUCAUUGCAGC